GAGUUUGAUCGUGGCUCAGAUUGAACGCUGGCGGCAUGCCUUACACAUGCAAGUCGAACGGCAGCACGGGAGCUUGCUCCUGGUGGCGAGUGGCGAACGGGUGAGUAAUGCAUCGGAACGUAUCCUGGAGUGGGGGAUAACGUAGCGAAAGUUACGCUAAUACCGCAUAUUCUGUGAGCAGGAAAGCGGGGGACCUUCGGGCCUCGCGCUCUUGGAGCGGCCGAUGUCGGAUUAGCUAGUUGGUGAGGUAAAGGCUCACCAAGGCGACGAUCCGUAGCAGGUCUGAGAGGAUGAUCUGCCACACUGGAACUGAGACACGGUCCAGACUCCUACGGGAGGCAGCAGUGGGAAUUUUGGACAAUGGGGGCAACCCUGAUCCAGCCAUGCCGCGUGAGUGAAGAAGGCCUGG
rnacentral:rRNA from 4 species